rnacentral:miRNA from 1 species
UUUGAAUUUCAAAUAAAUAACAAAUAAUAUUUUUAGUAUAAUUAUAUCUCAUGCAAUAUUUAGGACAUACUUAUGCUAAAAUAUUAUUUGUAGUUUAUCAAAAUUCAAAUUUAAC